GGGGAUGUAAUGGUCUCGACGGGGAUAUAUGUUUCAUGGAUAGCGAGCCGGGGGGUCAUCAACCCGUUAGUAAGGUGAAAACUUUUAUUAAAUAUAAAAGCUAACGAAGAUUACGCUUUAGCCGCUUAAGGCUAACCCCUGUCUGUCUUUCUCCCGCGAGGACGGAUAAGGGGCUAACAGCGGGAUACCUCAGUGCCAAUUCUCGGAGGCGCUGACGGGAACUCUUAUCGAGAUCGGAAUGAAGCCGUUUGUUUGUGGAUGGCCGAUUUCUUAAAUCUAACCACAAACUGCGCUCGGAGAAAUCUAUGCAACAGUAUUUUCGGACAGGAGUUCGAUUCUCCUCAUCUCCACCA
rnacentral:tmRNA from 1 species